ensembl:lncRNA
UGCCAGGGAAUUCCCUACAAAUGAACUUUCGACAAUAAUUAUGCUUUAUGUUUUAAAUGCACGUAGGGAGCCGCUGAUCAGCCAACAGAUGGUUUCUCUCUGACUGAAAGGACGAAGAGAGAACAGAGGAAUGGAAUCAGCUCCAAGACAUCACCUGACAUCAUCUCUUGUGACUACUACACUGAGAACAGAAGAGGCAAUGGCGACUGAGGGUCAUUACUACUGUGGGCAGGAAUCCCUUAGAAGAAAUGGAGUAGCCAUCAGAGUCAACAAAAGAGUCUGAAAUGCAGUACUUGGAUGCAAUCUCAAAAACAACAGAAUGAUC